rnacentral:pre_miRNA from 1 species
GGAAUAUAAGAAUCCGUCUCUUAACUUUUAACUAAAAAAAUUAAGAACCGGUUCUUAAAACUCUUAUUUAAGAACCGGUUCUUAAUUUUUUUAGUUAAAAGUUAAGAGACGGAUUCUUAUAUUCC